rnacentral:lncRNA from 1 species
UGAGUUUGGAGUGGUCUGCCAUAUAGCACGCGUCUGUCUAUUGGAGCUGUUGAGUAUAUCUAGGUAAUCGUGUCGAACGCUUUUUUUUAAUGUAUCGUGUAGUAAAACUGCAUAAACCUAAUGUCAAGUUAAAGUGUACUGUUAGCUAGCUAACAUUAGCUGGCUGGCUCGCUAGCUAACGUUAAGUGUAUGCUCUCCACUUUCUGGAGGACCAAGUUUUGAAAUCAGUGGAAUUCGAGUAUGAUAGCUAAGGACUUGGAGAAAACACCAGUCUGGGUUACAUUGUCAAACUAAGGGCAACCAUGCAUGGUAUCAGACAAGAGACGUGUCCAACCAUUAUGUACAGUAGUGUAUCUUGCACAGUCAGUCACCAACGCUCUGGAUAACAUGAAAACUGCCUAAUCAGUUCUGCAAGGGAGUGCAACAGAAGUCCAUGUGGAGUGAGAAUGGAGAGAGAUCCGUUCCAAAACUUCUCUCAUAUUGCUGGUAUACUGGUUGGCAAAUGGACAAGACAUAAUGAGUUGUGGUGGGGUUCAGGAUGUUGGUGGGCGGAGCCGGGAGGGUCGUCAGCGAAAUGGGACACACCUGGGCUCGGGUGUGUCCCAGGAUAAAUACACCUCUUCCCCUUAUUCAUUGAGGAGACUCUCUCCAUGCAGACACACUGAUAGAGUUUGGUUGUGGCUGUUUUUGUUUGUUUGUUUUUGUUGGCACCUUUCAACACCCCUCAUUAUCACAUUUAUGCACGCAACCACUCACUUACACCACUGAUUACUGACUACACACACCAUUGUUAAUUGUAUUUAGUUUACUUUAGUUAAGAAAUAACAAAAUAUAUUUAUUAUCUCCAUGUUGUCUCCCUUUUUGUUAUGAGCUUUGAGCCGGUUCGUGACAGGUGCCAGAGUGAUGACUGUCCUAUUUGCUGUAAUUAAGCCUGUGUGUGAGUUUUUAUGUUUCAUUUUCAUUUUCUGUUCCAGAUUGACUGUGUUUUGAUAAGAAAGGUAUAAAACUCAGCAACCCAAAAUCAGGUUGUUUACCAUGGAUGGAAUGUCAAACACCAGAGGGAUGUAUUUUGUUAGUUUAAAUGUAUACUUAACAAUCUUGAAUUUUUCUAGAAGAAACUGAGUUUCUUGAGAGGCGAAUGUGAGAGAAAAAUUACAUAGUUACCUGAUUUGUUUGAUAUUAAUAGUUAACAAUUAAUACUUAACAAAUAUGAAGAUAUUUCUGUCCUGUUAGUGUCUGUGUUUUUAUGGUGCUAAUCUGGGCGUAUGAUCACUAGAGAUGGCUUGAGCUGACAAAUGAGUUAAAGACUGCAUUACAUAGACAAGAUGUGGUGGGUCUAACCGAGAUAGAGAUAGCCAGGAGGAGUUUAGAACAAUUCCUCAUUGUCUCUAAAUCAUCCUUGCAUCUGGGAAACUAAGCCAGGGAGGGGUUAAUACAACACCUCCGUGCAGAUAACGACUG